CGGUGUACUGGGGGUUGGUAGACUGAAGGAGCGGGUAUUACUGCUGGUCGAUACUCCAGUCUGGCAGGGGCUUUAGCAGCUGUACCAUCCAACUUGCGGGCAUCCGUGUAUUCGUCUGCCAGACGGGCAGCCUCGGGUAGGGUAGAGGGUUUUCUAUCUCUGACCCAUUCCCGGACCCCAGCAGGUAGUCUAUCAAAACAGUGCUCCAGCAGGAACACUUGUAACACCUCCUCC